rnacentral:lncRNA from 1 species
GAUCCGCCUCCUUCAUACUCUGCCUUUCGGCCAUACCCAGAUCCGUAUUCAGAUUCGGGUUCACCAUAGCUGGGUCUCCUCCCAUAUUCGGAUCCAUAUUCACCGUGCUCUGGUUUCCUACUAUACUCAGAUCUGUACUCGGACUCUUGUUCGCCAUAUUCGGGUCUCCGGCCAUACCCAGAUUCAAAUUCAGGAGGCGGAGGCUGCUCAAAUUCGGGUCUCCGUCGAUACCCAGAUCCAAACUCAGGCGGCGGAGGCUGCUCAAAUUCUGAUCUCCGGCCGGAUCCGAAAUCCGGUUGAUGUGAAUGCUCAUAUGCCGGCCUCCGGCCAUGCCCAGAUCCAAACUCCUCAGGAGGCUGCUCGAAUUCAGGUCUUCGGCCAUAAUCAGAUUCAAAUUCGGAUCCGGGUCGUCCGAAAUCCGGCUUGCGUCCAUGACCAGAUUCGAAUUGCUCAUAUUCAGGUUUCCUUCCAUAGUCACCAGAUCCAGCACCAAAAGCAGGUGCAGGUUCGAAUCGUCCAG